CUGCAUCAAAAAGGGACGGUACUUCCCAGUGGAUUUUCCGUAUAGUUUUGAUGCGAAAAAGUAGAGAGGUGCAGUGUUACUCUUCAUCAUAUUACUUGUGAACGGAGAGUGUCAAGCGCUUCCCACAUUU
rnacentral:snoRNA from 1 species